UACGUAGGGGGCUAGCGUUGUCCGGAAUCAUUGGGCGUAAAGAGCGCGUAGGCGGCCAGAUAAGUCCGGUGUGAAAGUCAAAGGCUCAACCUUUGAAUGCCGCUGGAAACUGUCUGACUAGAGUCCGGGAGGGGCGAGUGGAAUUCCUGGUGUAGCGGUGGAAUGCGCAGAUAUCAGGAGGAACACCGAUGGCGAAGGCAGAUCUCUGGGCCGUAACUGACGCUGAGGAGCGAAAGCAUGGGGAGCGAACAGG
rnacentral:rRNA from 1 species